AUGCCUGCGCUUCUUCGAGGGGCCUCUGGAAAGGAGCCGGGGUGAAAGAGGUUGAGGGAAGGCCAGGCCCACUCAGGAAGGGCCCAAGGCUCAACCCAGGCUCCAUUUUCACCAACCGUCCGCCCAGGGGUGGAGCCAAGCCGAGGCCAAGCUGAGCCGGGGCCUGGCAUGUGAUGGCAUUGGCAGAGGAAGCGCUGCUGGCCCCGGUGGAGGAGCUGAGCGCCCAGGAGGCGCAGGCCGCCUCGCUCCCUUGUUGCUUGGCAAUUGUGAGGGAAAUCAUGGCCCUCUUCCAGGAUGCGGCGCCCAGGCCUGAUCAUGGAACUGAGACAGCUUUGAUCGCCUUGGUGGAUGACCUCCACAGAGGACUAGACAGGGGGACUGUGUCUUGGACAUUUCAGCAGCUUUUGAUACCAUCGACUAUGGUGCACGUGAAAGCUUGAACUGCAAGGGAAGAAAUGCACUCCAUCAGUGCCACAGCUUUGAGCAAUUUGAGGGUAAAAUUCCAAGAGUCAAUGUGAACAGAAUUCUAGCAAGCAACAAAAGAGCAAAAUUACACAAUUUCCUCAAAUGCACAGACUUGGAGGGUCCAUUGUGACUCACUUGGCUGCACUGGUUAAUAUUAUGUCAGCAGAUAAUAAAGGGUUCUUAUAAUCACAGCCGCCUUUUCCUUGCUGCAGGAUAAAGUCAAACACUUUAUGCCCAUCAUCUUUGUUUUUCAGUUGUCAUUUGUAUAAUGUGCAGCAUCUCAAUCAACUGCCGUCUUCCUCUGUGCUUGUUUUAUACCCUUGACUCUUUUUGGCAAGGGCAAAAGAAAAAUAUGUUAUCUUUUGGAUUAAUCUAGAACAGGCAUUGCCUGUAUAUCAGAACAAAGCUUCAGUCCUCCAAACUGUUUUCCAUGCUAAGGUGGAUUCAAUUGGUUAAUUAGCACUGGUAUAUUCCAAGAGGAAUGAUAAUUUAACCUCCAGAAGCAACUCCUUAAUUGUACAAAAAUACCAAAUGCAAUGUACACAGAAUAGGAAAAUGACUUCAGUGCUUUAUUUCAUUUCAUGUCAGUUAACUUUUUUAAAGGGACUGACAAGAAUGAAUUGCACCGAUUAUUUUCAACUGAAUUAAAAGCGCGUUAUUAUUAAUAAUACCCUAACUAAAGGAUGCAACAAAGCUUUAUUGUGUAUUGUCUUUCUGGGAUUUUUGUUUAUAGCUGGACCUAAGUAUACAUUUUAUCAUUUUAUGCUUCCAUUCCUACUUUCAUAUUAUUUUUCAUGUUAUGACUAUUAAUGGUCAUCAGGUGAAAGGGCUGCUGAGAUUAGCCUAGAAGUCUCAUCAGGUUUAUAGAUACAUGCCCUGUACAUACUGAGAUUCUGCAAGACAUUAAAGGAAGCCAGACCUUUAUUUUCUUGUCUUUUCAACAUUCGGUUUUUAAAUGGCAAUUUUAAUAUCAGCACAAAGCAAUUUCUGGUGAUGAAUGACUGCUGAAGAUUAAAGAAUUAUUUGCCCUUAUUUUUUCUAAAGCAUCAAAGUUCUGGAAGUCUGAUGAUAAAUCCACUUUUUGUCCUAAACCGAGUGUACAAUCCUCAAAGUAUUUAUUUCAGAGUAUUCAAAAAUCAAUGGGACUAACCUGACACAAAUGACUUUCUUUGAGAACCAUGUAUUUACAGUGUAAGCUUGAUUUCCCAUUUUUUUUUAGAUGGCAUUGUCCCAGUUCUGCUCUACUUUCCUUGUACAAUGGUUUUAGAAUAUCUUACUUUCUGGUUUUGACAAUAUCAAAUACACAUUUUAGACCUAGUCAUAUAGCCUGUGCAGUUUGCAGCAUUCCUUUGUAUUGGCAGGCAAUGAGAUAUAUAUAUAAAUAUUUUUUCAGAUGUAACAGUACAGACAUUUCUUGAGAAACUCAAUGCUCUCGGCAUGUAAAAGUAUCAAGUAGGUUACCAUGAAAUGGGGACAGCUGAAUCUCAAAAGAAGUUAUUUUUCUGUUGUUGAUGGAGUUGAAAUUUGCCCUUUCUCCCUGGUACUGACAAGGCAUCCUUGGAAUCCACCAAUACCAUCUGAAUAAACAACAGAGACAAAAGUUAGACCUAUGACUCUUUUUUUUUUUUCUCCUGUAUAAUUUUUAUUAUCUUUGUCUGGUGAAGAAGCUAGUGAAGCUUGAAAGGCUGCAUUUAAGUAUACUGAAUUUUUCUGCAAUAGAGGAAGUUUUUGGCAAGAGGGAAAAGUCGAUUAGGUCUUCAUUCAUUGAGAUUUUUAGCUCCUACAAAAAAUAAAAUUGUUCCACUGGAGUACAUUUGGCAAGUUGUCCCUACGCAGCACCUAAAUGUUUUUCCAUGUGUAACUCCAUAAGAAAUUCAAUGUUCUCUGCCUAAAAAAAAAAGAAAAGCCGUUUUCAAACAGGACAGGGGCAGCUGCAUUUCAAGGGAAGUUAUUUUUCUGUUGCUAAUGCAGUUGAAAUUUUAUAACUUGCCUUCUAUUGCCCUUUGCCCCUGGUUCUCACAUGGCCAAGAAGAAGUGACCUCUGUCUGCACUGAAAUCCCUUGAUACCAUCUUAACUGACAAGACAGUAAUAUCUGAGACAAAAUGUAGGCCUGUGUGACUCUAACAUCUUCAUCUUUCUAAGCCCCAGCUUGUGCCAGCUGAAUUGCUGACCUGAAGGUUGGGUUGCUGACCUGAAGGUUGUCGGUUCCAAUCUGUGAGACAAGAUGAGCUUCAGUCUGUCAGCUCUAGCCUGCGGGGACAUGAGAGAAGCCUCCCAGUGAACACAUCCCAGCAUCCGCUGGGCAACAUUUCUCUAGACUGUCAAUUCUCUCAUACCAGAAGCAACUUGCAGUAUGUUCUCAGGUCGCUUCUGACACUAUUAAAAAAUGCUUUCUAUCUCCUGUAUGAUUGUUAAUGUGUUUGCAUGAUGAAGAUGGUGAAGUUUCAAAAGCUUACUUGUUGCAUUUUCUGCAUUUGAGCUGCCUAAUAAAGUAUCACUCCUUCUCGUA